UACGAAGGGGGCUAGCGUUGUUCGGAAUUACUGGGCGUAAAGCGCACGUAGGCGGACUAUUAAGUCAGGGGUGAAAUCCCGGGGCUCAACCCCGGAACUGCCUUUGAUACUGGUAGUCUCGAGUCCGGAAGAGGUGAGUGGAAUUCCGAGUGUAGAGGUGAAAUUCGUAGAUAUUCGGAGGAACACCAGUGGCGAAGGCGGCUCACUGGUCCGGAACUGACGCUGAGGUG
rnacentral:rRNA from 1 species